AGUGAACGCUGGCGGUAGGCCUAACACAUGCAAGUCGAACGGCAGCACAGUAAGAGCUUGCUCUUACGGGUGGCGAGUGGCGGACGGGUGAGGAAUACAUCGGAAUCUACUUUUUCGUGGGGGAUAACGUAGGGAAACUUACGCUAAUACCGCAUACGACCUACGGGUGAAAGCAGGGGAUCUUCGGACCUUGCGCGAUUGAAUGAGCCGAUGUCGGAUUAGCUAGUUGGCGGGGUAAAGGCCCACCAAGGCGACGAUCCGUAGCUGGUCUGAGAGGAUGAUCAGCCACACUGGAACUGAGACACGGUCCAGACUCCUACGGGAGGCAGCAGUGGGGAAUAUUGGACAAUGGGCGCAAGCCUGAUCCAGUCAUACCGCGUGGGUGAAGAAGGCCUUCGGGUUGUAAAGCCCUUUUGUUGGGAAAGAAAAGCAGCAGGUUAAUACCCCGCUGUUCUGACGGUGCCCAAAGAAUAAGCACCGGCUAACUUCGUG
rnacentral:rRNA from 1 species